AUGUUGAUGAGACAGAUGAUAUAGAUGAGGCGGAGUUUGACACGAGCAUAUACCUCCAUCGCGGGAAAGCAAGAGUUUGAGCGAAGCUCACAGAAACAACAGCAAGCUGCAGAAGUGGUGCAAGAAACAGGAUUAGUUUGGGGGAGGGCUCAGGAAGUGUGUUGCAUUGUGUAUAUUUUUGAGUCUGCAUUCAU